rnacentral:rRNA from 1 species
CCUACGGUGUGCAGCAGUGGGGGAUAUUGGACAAUGGGGGGAACCCUGAUCCAGCGACGCCGCGUGAGUGAAGAAGUAUUUCGGUAUGUAAAGCUCUGUCAGCAGGGAAGAAAGAAAUGACGGUACCUGACCAAGAAGCCCCGGCUAACUACGUGCCAGCAGCCGCGGUAAUACGUAGGGGGCAAGCGUUAUCCGGAAUUACUGGGUGUAAAGGGAGCGUAGACGGUUAAGUAAGUCUGGAGUGAAAGGCCGGGGCCCAACCCCGGGACUGCUCUGGAAACGAUUGAACUGGAGAGCAGGGGAGGUAAGCGGAAGUCCUAGUGUAGCGGUGAAAUGCGGAGAUAUUAGGAGGAACACCAGUGGCGAAGGCAGCUUGCUGCAGCGGAACUGACGCUGAUGCUCGAAAGCGCGGGUAUCGAACAGGAUUAGAUACCCCAGUAGUC